CCAUAGUAACUGCGAGUGAAAGGGGAACAGCCCAGCGCCGAAUCCUGUUGCUGGCAACGGUGGCAGGAACUGUGGCGUGAAGAAGGUGGUUACCGGUGUGGCUUGCUCGCGUAAGUUCUCCUGAGUGAGGCUCCAUCCCAUGGAGGGUGCAAGGCCCGUAUCGUGAGCAGCUGAUGCCGGUGUACAUCUUCGGAGAGUCGCCUUGUUUGUGAGUACAAGGUGAAGUCGGUGGUAAACUCCAUCGAAGGCUAAAUAUGACCACGAGUCCGAUAGCGAACAAGUACCGUGAGGGAAAAUUGAAAAGCACUUUGAAGAGAGAGCGAAACAGUGCGUGAAACCGCUCAGAGGCAAGCAGAUGGGGCCUCGAAGGCAAAGCAGUGAAUUCAGCUGGUAUGAUGCGUGGUUGGUUGGCUGUGAGAUCGCAAGACUCUAGCUGACUAUGCUUAGCGUACCUGCCAGUGCACUUUCGCUGUUUGUACGUCACCGCCGUUGAGCGAGCAUCCGUCGGGACUGCCUGUGAAGCCUUAUUCCUUCGGGCGUAGGUGCUUACGGCUAACUUGUACGCGUUGGC
rnacentral:rRNA from 1 species